GGUUAAGCGACUAAGCGUACACGGUGGAUGCCCUGGCAGUCAGAGGCGAUGAAGGGCGUGCUAAUCUGCGAUAAGCGCCGGUAAGGUGAUAUGAACCGUUAUAACCGGCGAUACCCGAAUGGGGAAACCCAGUGUGACUCGUCACACUAUCAUUAACUGAAUCCAUAGGUUAAUGAGGCGAACCGGGGGAACUGAAACAUCUAAGUACCCCGAGGAAAAGAAAUCAACCGAGAUUCCCCCAGUAGCGGCGAGCGAACGGGGAGGAGCCCAGAGCCUGAAUCAGCAUGUGUGUUAGUGGAAGCGUCUGGAAAGGCGCGCGAUACAGGGUGACAGCCCCGUACACAAAAGCGCAUGUGCUGUGAGCUCGAUGAGUAGGGCGGGACACGUGGUAUCCUGUCUGAAUAUGGGGGGACCAUCCUCCAAGGCUAAAUACUCCUGACUGACCGAUAGUGAACCAGUACCGUGAGGGAAAGGCGAAAAGAACCCCGGCGAGGGGAGUGAAAAAGAACCUGAAACCGUGUACGUACAAGCAGUGGGAGCACAGGUUUACCUGUGUGACUGCGUACCUUUUGUAUAAUGGGUCAGCGACUUAUAUUCUGUAGCAAGGUUAACCGAAUAGGGGAGCCGGAGGGAAACCGAGUCUUAAUUGGGCGUUAAGUUGCAGGGUAUAGACCCGAAACCCGGUGAUCUAGCCAUGGGCAGGUUGAAGGUUGGGUAACACUAACUGGAGGACCGAACCGACUAAUGUUGAAAAAUUAGCGGAUGACCUGUGGCUGGGGGUGAAAGGCCAAUCAAACCGGGAGAUAGCUGGUUCUCCCCGAAAGCUAUUUAGGUAGCGCCUCGUGAAUUCAUCUCCGGGGGUAGAGCACUGUUUCGGCUAGGGGGCCAUCCCGGCUUACCAACCCGAUGCAAACUGCGAAUACCGGAGAAUGUUAUCACGGGAGACACACGGCGGGUGCUAACGUCCGUCGUGAAGAGGGAAACAACCCAGACCGCCAGCUAAGGUCCCAAAGUCAUGGUUAAGUGGGAAACGAUGUGGGAAGGCCCAGACAGCCAGGAUGUUGGCUUAGAAGCAGCCAUCAUUUAAAGAAAGCGUAAUAGCUCACUGGUCGAGUCGGCCUGCGCGGAAGAUGUAACGGGGCUAAACCAUGCACCGAAGCUGCGGCAGCGACGCUUAUGCGUUGUUGGGUAGGGGAGCGUUCUGUAAGCCUGCGAAGGUGGCCUGUGAGGGUUGCUGGAGGUAUCAGAAGUGCGAAUGCUGACAUAAGUAACGAUAAAGCGGGUGAAAAGCCCGCUCGCCGGAAGACCAAGGGUUCCUGUCCAACGUUAAUCGGGGCAGGGUGAGUCGACCCCUAAGGCGAGGCCGAAAGGCGUAGUCGAUGGGAAACGGGUUAAUAUUCCCGUACUUGGUGUUACUGCGAAGGGGGGACGGAGAAGGCUAUGUUGGCCGGGCGACGGUUGUCCCGGUUUAAGCGUGUAGGUGUGUGUUCCAGGUAAAUCCGGUUCACUUUAACACUGAGGCGUGAUGACGAGGCACUACGGUGCUGAAGUAACAAAUGCCCUGCUUCCAGGAAAAGCCUCUAAGCAUCAGGUAACAUCAAAUCGUACCCCAAACCGACACAGGUGGUCAGGUAGAGAAUACCAAGGCGCUUGAGAGAACUCGGGUGAAGGAACUAGGCAAAAUGGUGCCGUAACUUCGGGAGAAGGCACGCUGACACGUAGGUGAAGUGAUUUACUCACGGAGCUGAAGUCAGUCGAAGAUACCAGCUGGCUGCAACUGUUUAUUAAAAACACAGCACUGUGCAAACACGAAAGUGGACGUAUACGGUGUGACGCCUGCCCGGUGCCGGAAGGUUAAUUGAUGGGGUCAGCGCAAGCGAAGCUCCUGAUCGAAGCCCCGGUAAACGGCGGCCGUAACUAUAACGGUCCUAAGGUAGCGAAAUUCCUUGUCGGGUAAGUUCCGACCUGCACGAAUGGCGUAAUGAUGGCCAGGCUGUCUCCACCCGAGACUCAGUGAAAUUGAACUCGCUGUGAAGAUGCAGUGUACCCGCGGCAAGACGGAAAGACCCCGUGAACCUUUACUAUAGCUUGACACUGAACAUUGAGCCUUGAUGUGUAGGAUAGGUGGGAGGCUUUGAAGUGUGGACGCCAGUCUGCAUGGAGCCGACCUUGAAAUACCACCCUUUAAUGUUUGAUGUUCUAACGUGGACCCGUUACCCGGGUUGCGGACAGUGUCUGGUGGGUAGUUUGACUGGGGCGGUCUCCUCCUAAAGAGUAACGGAGGAGCACGAAGGUUGGCUAAUCCUGGUCGGACAUCAGGAGGUUAGUGCAAUGGCAUAAGCCAGCUUGACUGCGAGCGUGACGGCGCGAGCAGGUGCGAAAGCAGGUCAUAGUGAUCCGGUGGUUCUGAAUGGAAGGGCCAUCGCUCAACGGAUAAAAGGUACUCCGGGGAUAACAGGCUGAUACCGCCCAAGAGUUCAUAUCGACGGCGGUGUUUGGCACCUCGAUGUCGGCUCAUCACAUCCUGGGGCUGAAGUAGGUCCCAAGGGUAUGGCUGUUCGCCAUUUAAAGUGGUACGCGAGCUGGGUUUAGAACGUCGUGAGACAGUUCGGUCCCUAUCUGCCGUGGGCGCUGGAGAACUGAGGGGGCUGCUCCUAGUACGAGAGGACCGGAGUGGACGCAUCACUGGUGUUCGGGUUGUCAUGCCAAUGGCACUGCCCGGUAGCUAAAUGCGGAAGAGAUAAGUGCUGAAAGCAUCUAAGCACGAAACUUGCCCCGAGAUGAGUUCUCCCUGAGACUUAAAGUCUCCUGAAGGAACGUUGAAGACGACGACGUUGAUAGGCCGGGUGUGUAAGCGCAGCGAUGCGUUGAGCUAACCGGUACUAAUGAACCGUGAGGCUUAACCCU
rnacentral:rRNA from 1 species